rnacentral:rRNA from 1 species
UACCAGCACCCCGAGUGGUCGGGACGUUUAUUGGGCCUAAAGCAUCCGUAGCCGGUUCUACAAGUCCUCCGUUAAAUCCAGCCGCUCAACGGUUGGGCUGCGGAGGAUACUACGUGGCUAGGAGGCGGGAGAGGCAAGCGGUACUCAGUGGGUAGGGGUAAAAUCCUUUGAUCCAUUGAAGACCACCAGUGGCGAAGGCGGCUUGCCAGAACGCGCUCGACGGUGAGGGAUGAAAGCUGGGGGAGCAAACCGG